UACAGAGGGGGCAAGCGUUGUUCGGAAUUACUGGGCGUAAAGGGCGCGUAGGCGGCCUGCUAAGUCGAACGUGAAAUCCCUGGGCUCAACCCAGGAACUGCGUCCGAUACUGGUUGGCUUGAAUCCGGGAGAGGGAUGUGGAAUUCCAGGUGUAGCGGUGAAAUGCGUAGAUAUCAGGAGGAACACCGAUGGCGAAGGCAGAUCUCUGGGCCGUAACUGACGCUGAGGAGCGAAAGCAUGGGGAGCGAACAGG
rnacentral:rRNA from 1 species